rnacentral:rRNA from 1 species
GAUGAACGCUGGCGGCGUGCCUAAUACAUGCAAGUCGAGCGAACGGACGAGAAGCUUGCUUCUCUGAUGUUAGCGGCGGACGGGUGAGUAACACGUGGAUAACCUACCUAUAAGACUUGGAUAACUUCGGGAAACCGUAUCUAAUACCGGAUAAUAUUUUGAACCGCAUUGUUCAAAAGUGAAAUACGGUCUUGCUGUCACUUAUAGAUUGAUCCGCGCUGCAUUAUCUAGUUGGUAAGGUAACGGCUUACCAAGGCAACGAUGCAUAGCCGACCUGAGAGGGUGAUCGGCCACACUGGAACUGAGAAACGGUCCAGACUCCUACGGGAGGCAGCAGUAGGGAAUCUUCCGCAAUGGGCGAAAGCCUAACGGAGCAACGCCGCGUGAGUGAUGAAGGUCUUCGGAUCGUAAAACUCUGUUAUUAGGGAAGAACAUAUGUGUAAGUAACUGUGCACAUCUUGACGGUACCUAAUCAGAAAGCCACGGCUAACUACGUG